AACGAACGCUGGCGGCAGGCUUAACACAUGCAAGUCGAACGCCCCGCAAGGGGAGUGGCAGACGGGUGAGUAACGCGUGGGAAUCUACCCAUCUCUGCGGAAUAGCUCCGGGAAACUGGAAUUAACACCGCAUACGCCCUACGGGGGAAAGAUUUAUCGGGGAUGGAUGAGCCCGCGUUGGAUUAGCUAGUUGGUGGGGUAAAGGCCUACCAAGGCGACGAUCCAUAGCUGGUCUGAGAGGAUGAUCAGCCACAUUGGGACUGAGACACGGCCCAAACUCCUCCGGGGGGCAGCAGUGGGGAAUAUUGGACAAUGGGCGCAAGCCUGAUCCAGCCAUGCCGCGUGAGUGAUGAAGGCCUUAGGGUUGUAAAGCUCUUUCACCGGUGAAGAUAAUGACGGUAACCGGAGAAGAAGCCCCGGCUAACUUCGUGCCAGCCGCCGCCGUAA
rnacentral:rRNA from 1 species